ACAAGCAGUGGGAGCACCUUCGUGGUGUGACUGCGUACCUUUUGUAUAAUGGGUCAGCGACUUACAUUUUGUAGCGAGGUUAACCGAAUAGGGGAGCCGUAGGGAAACCGAGUCUUAAUAGGGCGAAUUAGUUGCAAGGUGUAGACCCGAAACCCGGUGAUCUAGCCAUGGGCAGGUUGAAGGUUGGGUAACACUAACUGGAGGACCGAACCGACUAAUGUUGAAAAAUUAGCGGAUGACUUGUGGC
rnacentral:rRNA from 1 species